rnacentral:misc_RNA from 1 species
GAUGAAGAACGUAGUGAAAUGCGAUAAGUAAUGUGAAUUGCAGAAUUCAGUGAAUCAUCGAAUCUUUGAACGAACAUUGCGCCCGCCAGUAUUCUGGCGGGCAUGCCUGUUCGAGCGUCAUUACAACCCUCAGGCCCCCGGGCCUGGCGUUGGGGAUCGGCGGAGCCCCCCGUGGGCACACGCCGUCCCCCAAAUGCAGUGGCGGUCCCGCCGCAGCUUCCAUCGCGUAGUAGCUAACACCUCGCGACUGGAGAGCGGCGCGGCCACGCCGUAAAACACCCAACUCUUCUGAAGUUGACCUCGAAUCAGGUAGGAAUACCCGCUGAACUUAAGCAUAUCAAUAAGCGGAGGA